rnacentral:rRNA from 1 species
GGUGGUUUGUCGCGUUGUUCGUGAAAUCUCACGGCUUAACUGUGAGCGUGCGGGCGAUACGGGCAGACUCGAGUACUGCAGGGGAGACUGGAAUUCCUGGUGUAGCGGUGGAAUGCGCAGAUAUCAGGAGGAACACCGGUGGCGAAGGCGGGUCUCUGGGCAGUAACUGACGCUGAGGAGCGAAAGCGUGGGGAGCGAACAGGAUUAGAUAUCCUGGUAGUCCACGCCGUAAACGGUGGGUACUAGGUGUGGGUUUCCUUCCUUGGGAUCCGUGCCGUAGCUAACGCAUUAAGUACCCCGCCUGGGGAGUACGGCCGCAAGGCUAAAACUCAAAGAAAUUGACGGGGGCCCGCACAAGCGGCGGAGCAUGUGGAUUAAUUCGAUGCAACGCGAAGAACCUUACCUGGGUUUGACAUGCACAGGACGCCGGCAGAGAUGUCGGUUCCCUUGUGGCCUGUGUGCAGGUGGUGCAUGGCUGUCGUCAGCUCGUGUCGUGAGAUGUUGGGUUAAGUCCCGCAACGAGCGCAACCCUUGUCUCAUGUUGCCAGCGGGUAAUGCCGGGGACUCGUGAGAGACUGCCGGGGUCAACUCGGAGGAAGGUGGGGAUGACGUCAAGUCAUCAUGCCCCUUAUGUCCAGGGCUUCACACAUGCUACAAUGGCCGGUACAAAGGGCUGCGAUGCCGCGAGGUUAAGCGAAUCCUUUUAAAGCCGGUCUCAGUUCGGAUCGGGGUCUGCAACUCGACCCCGUGAAGUCGGAGUCGCUAGUAAUCGCA